rnacentral:rRNA from 1 species
CCUACGGGAGGCAGCAGUGAGGAAUAUUGGUCAAUGGACGCAAGUCUGAACCAGCCAUGCCGCGUGCAGGAAGACGGCUCUAUGAGUUGUAAACUGCUUUUGUACGAGGGUAAACGCAGAUACGCGUAUCUGUCUGAAAGUAUCGUACGAAUAAGGAUCGGCUAACUCCGUUCCAGCAGCCGCGGUAAUACGGAGGAUUCAAGCGUUAUCCGGAUUUAUUGGGUUUAAAGGGUGCGUAGGCGGUCGGAUAAGUUAGAGGUGAAAUCCCGGGGCUCAACUUCGGAAUUGCCUAUGAUACUGUUCGGCUAGAGAGUAGUUGCGGUAGGCGGAAUGUAUGGUGUAGCAGUGAAAUGCUUAGAGAUCAUACAGAACACCGAUUGCGAAGGCAGCUUACCAAGCUACUUCUGACGUUGAGGCACGAAAGCGUGGGGAGCAAACAGGAUUAGAUACCCGAGUAGUC